rnacentral:misc_RNA from 1 species
GAUGAAGAACGUAGCGAAAUGCGAUAAGUAAUGUGAAUUGCAGAAUUCAGUGAAUCAUCGAAUCUUUGAACGCACAUUGCGCCCCCUGGUAUUCCGGGGGGCAUGCCUGUUCGAGCGUCAUUCACCACUCAAGCCUCGCUUGGUAUUGGGCAACGCGGUCCGCCGCGUGCCUCAAAUCGACCGGCUGGGUCUUCUGUCCCCUAAGCGUUGUGGAAACUUUCGCUAAAGGGUGUUCGGGAGGCUACGCCGUAAAACAACCCCAUUUCUAAGGUUGACCUCGGAUCAGGUAGGGAUACCCGCUGAACUUAAGCAUAUCAAUAAGCGGAGGA